rnacentral:lncRNA from 1 species
AUCGUUCUCGCCGGCAAGAACACACUCGGACAACCGGAUUCUUCUGCGGCAAGCUUUAUUGCUUCUUAAGGAGGGAAGACCCAGACCCCGGAAAAUGGUGCUGCUUAUAUAGCCCUCAGCGUGGCGUUUCAGCACCUGAUGUGGCGUGUCAGCUCCUGAUUUGUUGCUCGCCCAUCACCUCAUUACUACGCCCCGAGAUGGGCAGUGACUAGGUGUGAGUUCACUCUCGCACUUGCGCACAAGGCUUGUUUACUAGUUAGGCACAGCGGAAGCCAGCACCAUCUUAUAAUGGCGAUUGCUCGCUGCACGGCUCUCCACAGUGGUGAAGGUUGUAUAACAUGGUGCAUAUACUAAAUCUACCAAACAUACCAUUUACAUGUGUAUUUUAACACAUGUAUGCAAAUGUUAAAAUGGUUCUCUGAAGGUUCUCCACUUUUGCAUGCCACCUCUCGAAGUGUGGUAACUAAGAAGAUAGAUUUCUAAAGGCCUGACUGGAUAGUACAGUACGAUGGUAUCUCAUGAUAUAGGUCAAAAGUAGAAUAUAUCUGAAAGGAUGAGACGCUGAUAUCCAUUCAUUCAUUCAUUCAUUCACCCAUUCAUUCAUUCAGCUUUUGCUCAGCAUCUACUGGGUGAUGAUUUAUAUGGUAGGGGUUGGAAUAGAACUCUUCCAACACUUCAGAUGUGUCCCCAAUCCGAAAAAUGCAUGAAGACUAGCUAGUCUUUUUAUGACUUACUAGGAAUGCACAGUCAACUUAAUCUUUGAUUUUCAUUUGACAAAUGAAAGAGGAGAGUGAGAGAAAUGCUUCCACCAUAGUUAUCCUUCCUAGCCCACAGACUUACAUGAGGAUUAAAGAUGGCCAGGAAGCCAUGAUUUAUAUCUUAAAAAGCACUGUAGAAACUAUUAUGCAAUAGUUCUGUAUUAUUCUAGCUUAAUGCUGAUUUUUUUAUAUCAGUACUACAUGUUUGCUAGUUAUGAAACUGGCAUUGCUGUCUCUUUAUAAUAGUUACUGGUGGGGGAAAGGGAUUGGCUUUCUGCUAUAAAUACAGAGUGCAAUCAUUGUAAAAGAUUUAAUAUCCACAAAAAAUGUAUUUGAAUCAACAUAUUGUCCCUCAGAUAAUGUCACUAUUACCAUUGUAGAAUAAGCUUUUAGGUGGCAAUAAUUAUUGAAUUAAGUGCAAGAAUAUUGUUUGGGACAGAUUUUAUUGUUUAUUAUCCACUUAACCUUGGGGCUAAUAUCACAUCUAUGUAUGAAUUUCUUAUUUGUGAAAUUAAGGGAAUAACAAAAGCUACUUCACGGUUCAGAUGAUUAAGCGAAAUAUUUGACAUAUAGUAUUUGACAAAAUACUAAUAGGUAUUAUUAAUGGUAAACAUAUAUGAUAAUUAUAUACAUAUACACUACUUGUAUACACUCAUGAAAUGCAUAGUUGCACCCUAAUAGACACAAUAUAUUGUAUUUAUGAUAUUUAUAUACAUACUAAUUAAAUACAUGUGUGCCGCAGACCUUUUGGGUCCCUGUGUCUGCGUGGAACGGGGUCUCUCGACGCAGGUGGGCAAAGCGUGGAUGAAUGACAGACAGACACACAUGCAGGAGAGUUUGUGUGGAAUCUGAAUGUAAUUUUACAACUGAGCAUCAGACUUUUUAUGCAGAGGACAAUAAGGAAGUUGGGUGACAUAUUCGCAAGAUACAAUUGAGGUAACUGGAAUCUUACAUAAAACAGAGGAAUGCAAACACAAAAGGUCUAACGGGAACCACCCAGGAUAGAAUACAUUGAUAACAGCUGGGAUCAACAAGGGCUCCACCUAAAAUUUACUAAUCUUAGAAGCCAGGGUCAAGGGCUUCGUGUCCUUGCCAUAGUUCCUAUUUUAGUCUCUUGUAUAGUCCACCUUCCCCUUAGGCCAUUGUAAAUACGUGUGUAUGGGUGUAACUCUGCUAUAGUAUCUAUUCUGGUUUCUCCUUUGGUCUGAAACUUCCUUCUUCCUAAGUGAUGGUAAAUUCCUGUGUAAGGGAGUGACUUAGCUUUUACAAUCUUGCUGAGUUCUAAACCCUUGAUCUUGGUCAAGGAUGCCCUUGGACUGUUGGAACACUGGUGGAAGGCUUUAGCCAUGUCAGAGCACUUAUAAUAGGAAAAUACUGAAAGAGAGCACGUGGAUCCAUACUCUAGACUAGCGCGGUAAUGGAACUUGGGAAUGAAAAAUUAAUAUAUGGGUAGAGAACACUAGCCUCCAGGAGGAGAGCUUCCUUGAAACUCUUUUGCCUCAUGAGUGACUUUUAAGCCUUUCAGCUUGUCCAGUUGACUCAACCAGAGAGCGUAGCACAUGUGCAUGCAUGUAGUCAUACACAUACUUGCCCCAAGUGUGUCUAUAUCUAUGCAUACAGAGACACAACACUUUUGCUUGUUUUCUACUAAUGAGGUAGCAAUAGACACAUCUGUCUUAAUCUGUGCCUUAGCUCACUUUGUAACUACUUAAAUGAGACUCCCAAGGAUAUCAUAGGGAAACUUAUCUGAAGGGAAAACAUUCAUUCAAGCACUUCAAAGAGUGAAAGACUUUACAUUCCCCACAUGAAAGCAUCCAGACUCGCGGCGCGUGUCAUUAUUUGCCUUACGGGUGUGUGGGACGGCCCAUAUUUUGAGAGAUGCUCUCCUUUCCUUUUCCAGGAAACCGUUUUAUUUCAUUAACUCUUUGACAUUCAUAAAAGAUGAUCUCCUCUUGAGGGUAGGGUCUGAAAGAAGAGAUACAACCAUUCAAAGACACAUCAUAGGGAACCAAUCAGGAGUGGAGAAAGGCAGGAGAGGGUCCAGAAACAGUGGC